CCUACGGGGGGCAGCAGUGGGGAAUAUUGCACAAUGGGGGGAACCCUGAUGCAGCGACGCCGCGUGAGUGAAGAAGUAUUUCGGUAUGUAAAGCUCUAUCAGCAGGGAAGAAAAUGACGGUACCUGACUAAGAAGCCCCGGCUAACUACGUGCCAGCAGCCGCGGUAAUACGUAGGGGGCAAGCGUUAUCCGGAUUUACUGGGUGUAAAGGGAGCGCAGACGGCUGUGCAAGUCUGGAGUGAAAGGCGGGGGCCCAACCCCCGGACUGCUCUGGAAACUGUAAAGCUGGAGUGCAGGAGAGGUAAGCGGAAUUCCUAGUGUAGCGGUGAAAUGCGUAGAUAUUAGGAGGAACACCAGUGGCGAAGGCGGCCUACUGGGCUCUAACUGACGCUGAGGCACGAAAGCGUGGGUAGCAAACAGGAUUAGAUACCCCAGUAGUC
rnacentral:rRNA from 1 species